rnacentral:rRNA from 1 species
AUUGAACGCUGGCGGAAUGCUUUACACAUGCAAGUCGAACGGCAGCACGGGGGCAACCCUGGUGGCGAGUGGCGAACGGGUGAGUAAUACAUCGGAACGUGCCCUGUCGUGGGGAUAACGUAGCGAAAGUUACGCUAAUACCGCAUACGAUCUACGGAUGAAAGCGGGGGACCGUAAGGCCUCGCGCGAUUGGAGCGGCCGAUGUCAGAGUAGGUAGUUGGUGAGGUAAAGGCUCACCAAGACAACGGUCUGUAGCUGGUCUGAGAGGACGACCAGCGCAACUGGAAAUUAGACACGGUCCAGACUCCUACGGGAGGCAGCAGUGGGGAAUUUUGGACAAUGGGGGCAACCCUGAUCCAGCCAUGCCGCGUGAGUGAAGAAGGCCUUCGGGUUGUAAAGCUCUUUCGGCCGGGAAGAAAUCGCACAGGCUAGUACUCUGUGUGGAUGACGGUACCGGCAUAAGAAGCACCGGCUAACUACGUGCCAGCCGCCGCGGUAA